rnacentral:rRNA from 1 species
GACGAACGCUGGCGGCGUGCUUAACACAUGCAAGUCGAACGGAAAGGCCUGCUUUCCCUUGUGGAUUGCGGGUACUCGAGUGGCGAACGGGUGAGUAACACGUGAGUGAUCUGCCCCCAACUUGGGUAUAAGCCUGGGAAACUGGGUCUAAUUCCCGAUAGGACUGUAGGGUGGUGCCUGUGGUGGAAAACGAUUUUCUAGUGGUUGGGGAUGAGCUCGCGGCCUAUCAGCUUGUUGGUGGGGUAAUGGCCUACCAAGGCGGCGACGGGUAGCCGGCCUGAGAGGGUGGACGGCAACAUUGGGACUGAGAGACGGCCCAGACUCCUACGGGAGGCAGCAGUGGGGAAUAUGGCACAAUGGGCGGAAGCCUGAUGCAGCGACGCCGCGUGGGGGAUGACGGCCUUCGGGUUGUAAACUCCUUUCGACCGCGAGGAAGCCACCUGGUUGGAAGGGUGGUGACGGUAGUGGUAGAAGAAGCACCGGCUAACUACGUG